GCCGGCGUAGCUCAGAGGUAGAGCAGCUGAUUCGUAAUCAGCAGGUCAUCGGUUCAAAUCCGAUCGCCGGCU
rnacentral:tRNA from 1 species